UAGGGAAUCUUCGGCAAUGGGGGCAACCCUGACCGAGCAACGCCGCGUGAGUGAAGAAGGUUUUCGGAUCGUAAAGCUCUGCUGUAAGAGAAGAACGUGUGUGAGAGUGGAAAGUUCACACAGUGACGGUAACUUACCAGAAAGGGACGGCUAACUACGUGCCAG
rnacentral:rRNA from 1 species